UACGGGGGGAGCUAGCGUUAUUCGGAAUUACUGGGCGUAAAGCGCACGUAGGCGGCUUUGUAAGUUAGAGGUGGAAGCCUGGAGCUCAACUCCAGAAUUGCCUUUAAGACUGCAUCGCUUGAAUCCAGGAGAGGUGAGUGGAAUUCCGAGUGUAGAGGUGAAAUUCGUAGAUAUUCGGAAGAACACCAGUGGCGAAGGCGGCUCACUGGACUGGUAUUGACGCUGAGGUGCGAAAAGCGUGGGGAGCAAACAGGG
rnacentral:rRNA from 1 species